rnacentral:lncRNA from 10 species
CAGAUUUAAAGUACUGUGACUAUUCAUGACAUAAAAUUUUCCUCUUUCCUUAGGAGCCAUUUCGGUUUUACCAACUCAGACUGAGAUUGUGGCUGAGUUUGAUAAGUGCAGACUGCUAUUCUUUCUUAAGACCUCUCCCUUUGGAGCACAUUAAAAGUGGAGAGAACUGCUAUACCUAGGCACUCCAGGUAGAAGACGUAUCAGUUGAAUAUUGACUGCAAAACAGGCGUGGAAGCACUAAUUGCAGACCCUGUUGUCAAACCCUUUAACAGGAAUCCCCUUCUGUGUUUUCAGUUGUUUUAUGCAACAUUCAGGGAGGUCCUGCCAUGUGCCAAGCACUGCGAUUGGGAUCUAGCAGUGAAUAAAACAAGAUAUAUUGUCCUUUCCUUCAUGGAUCUUACAAAUACAGGUUAAUUUACCUCCCAUUUGUUUCCUGAUAGAUACCAACUAGCCCACAGGCCUGGCACAGAGGAGGUAGUCAAUGUUGGAAUGAAUAGGGAUAUUUACCUGAAAACUGCACAUGCAGACUGUCACCUGCCACUAUUUCCUCCCUUCAGAUGGGUGAAGGAUGCCCUACUUUCAAGUCAUCCUAAAAAGGAAGACAAGCAAACUUAGUGAUCUAGUACACAGAAUAUA